ACUCAAAAAAUAUCUAAAAUCUAUCAAUCAUUCAACAAUUCCAUUACUUCCCAAGUCUCCCCUGUUUCUUCUUCAUCUCCUCCUUUUUUUCUAAUUUUUGCCCCCACCACGUUUCAGCUGACCGUUAAUUUUGCUAGUUUUACUUCAGGAUAUUCUUUCCAUGGAGUACGUUCAAUAUCAAUUUGAGAUCAUUGAUGUUGUUUAUUCUCUCUUGGAGGACCUGCAAGGAUGGCUAGAUUUGUUAUGGUUUUAUCAUAGAGGUACAACAGAUCAUUCUGAUCCAAUCCAGAUCCUUGAAGUGGAAUUGAAGCUGUUGAGAUUGUUUCUUACAUAUAUUGCAAAUUGGAGCGAUGCUAAUGAGCUGUGCAGUGUUGAUCAGGAGCUGGCAUCUCUAAUCCUGGACCUAGAAGUUGUAUUCAAAGAGACAAGAGCUUAUUACAAAGUUGCUGCUGAGAAUCCAGGUAGUGAAACAAAUAAGGAUUAUCCAAAAUCUGCAAUUUCUGAGUUGCAAAAUAAGCUUAAAGUCAUGAGGCCUCAAGUUAGAGCAGCUUAUGAAUAUAUUGCAUCCAACAGUUCAUUUCCAUCCUCCCAUCCCCUUAGCAAUUGGGAUAAGUGGACAAACUUUAUUGAAUAUCUAUGCAAUGUUGUGUGGCAGCAAUGCGAAUUGCUAAGCCAUUUCUCCUUGUAUUUACAUAUCAUGCAUAACAUGCUAAGACAUCUCCACUGGUUCAUCUCUGAAAUGGAUUGUCGGUAUUUUGACAGAGGAAGAUAUCUCUUUAGUCAUUUUGGAGCUGUACUUGUCUCUGCAGCACUUUUUUGUUAUUUGUGCUGGAUUCAUCUAAUGGAUGAAGACAAGAAUCAGGAGUUGAUCAUUAUGCUUGCUGGUCUACUAAAAGCGCUCAAGCCUAAUACUCUGCAAGUUACAAAGCUGUGCCUCGAACUAAUAGCCUUCUGCUACUCGGGAUCAUAUGAUUAUCGGUUAACAACAUUUGUUGAAUUUCUCAUUCCUGAGAGGAAAUUUGGGCUCGAAGUCUGCAAAAGGCUCGAAGGCCUGAUAAAAUUUUACACAGAAGCAUCAGAUUUGAAAGACAAGGAUGAUGAGACAAAGCUGCUUUUAAUGGAGAUUACAGCAGCGAUUAGCGAGCUUGGAUCUUUUGGUUACUCAUUUUAUGCAAGAAAGGGAAGAAGUCACCUUAAUCCUUCAUUAUUUAGGUGGCUUGAAAAGAUAGAGCUUCUCAAGGCAGAUUUAUUCCUGAUCAAGCUUCUACAGCACAGGAUCAGUUUGAAAUUUCUUGAGGCUGAAAUUGAUUCUUUCCAAAAUGAACUGAUAUAUUUGCAGAGUUAUCAUAGAGAUGCAUCUGAAGGGGAAAGUAAAGCUCCUACGCUGAUCUGGUUGCAAAUUAUCCCUAUAGCUAGGGAGGCUGGCUCUAUUUAUCGAUCACUUUAUGCCAUGUUAGACGACCUACGUCGCUUGGAGGACACUCCAUAUCCCCCGUACUUAUUCCCGUGGAGAUUCAGUAACACAACUCAACAAAAGUUCAGAAAUAAGCUAUUAAAGUUGCUAGAGAAGAAUAAACUUUUGAAGGCCGAGAUAGUUUUGGAAGAAAUUAUGUAUGGACACCCCAGUCUGAUAGUCAAUGUGAAGGACCAAAUGGAAAGCCUUGAUCAGGGGGUGAUAGUCCUUAGAACCUAUUUGAUCGGUCCACUAAACGAGAAUGAGAAAUUGAUUUUGACACAUGCAGAGUCAGUAGCAAGGGAUGCAGCUCGUUUUUGUUACUCUCUUCUUGGAAGUGAAAUUACAGUAGACAUGGUGAGGCAAUUUAGAAAUUGGCUUCCUGAGCUAGUGGAAAAGAUGAAGCUUGUCAAUGCAGAGAUCAAAGAGAGUUAUAAAACUAUUCGAAGUUCAACAAAAUCUCAUUUGUCCAAGGUAGAAGGAUUUGGCUUCAUUGAUUUUCUUCUAGGGGAUAUGAAGGGGCUGCUGAACUCUGAAGCUGAUUCUCUUGUUCUAGUGAAACAUCAAAUUCAUAUUGUUCAUGGAGAGAUAAAGUUCUUCAAAUCAUUCCUCAGGAGUAUUGAAGAGCAGUUCAAUGAGCAUCAGGACUUGAAGAGUCUUGUGUUGUGCAUUGUACAUGUGAUACUUGAGGCUGAAUAUCUCAUUGAGUCUUUUCGGCUUGGAGAUUGCUUGCGAUGGUUUCAUCCACUAUGGCUUUCUGAUCUCGUAGAAGAUCUCAGCCUUAUUAAGGUUCAGGCAACAGAAAUCUAUAAGAAUGCACAUAGGGUUAGCACCCAUGAUUUACCCAGGUCUCCAAUGAAGGACAUAGCACCAGCCAAGAUUCCCCAGAUUGAUGAAGUUGUAGUUGGUCUUGCUGAUCAGAAAAGAUUGAUCAUUGAUAGACUUAUAGCAGGAUCAUCACAGUUAGAUGUUGUCUCAAUUAUUGGCAUGGCAGGACUCGGCAAGACGACUCUAGCCUGGAAGGUGUACAAUGAUCCUUCGGUUACCUAUCACUUCCACAUUCGAGCAUGGUGUUGUAUCUCCCAAGCAUAUCAUAAGGGGGAAUUGCUUCUUCAGAUUUUAGGUGACAUCAUGGAAAUUACGGAAGAGAUUCUUGAAAUGAGUAAUGAAGAUUUAGAGCUGAAGUUGUACAGAUGCCUAAAGGGGAAAAGGUACCUCAUUGUUAUGGACGAUAUCUGGAGCAUUGAGGCAUGGUAUGAUUUCAAAAGAUCAUUUCCAAAUGACAACAAUGGAAGCAGAGUACUGAUCACCAGUCGUCACUUUGAUGUGGCUGAGAAAAUCAAAGCAUAUAGUAGUCCUCAUCUCCUUCGGCCACUCUCUGAUGACGAAAGCUGGAAGUUGUUACAAAAGAAGUUAUAUGACACAAAAGAGUGCCCUGAUGAACUCUUGGAAGUUGGAAAGCAAAUAGCCAUAAGUUGCAAAGGACUCCCUCUUGCAGUUGUUGCAAUAGCUGGUCUCCUUAAAAGAAGUAACAUGACACCGGACAAGUGGAAACAAGUUUCAGAAAGUAUGUGCUCAAGGAUUGCCGAUGAUCCUGAAACGAGGUGCAUGGACAUCUUAGAGCUAAGCUACAAUUAUUUGCCCAACUAUUUGAAACCUUGUUUUCUUUAUAUUGCAGUGUUUUUGAAGGAUAAAGACAUUCCAGUCAGAAAGUUGGCAUGGUUAUGGAGAGCGGAAGGAUUCAUAACAGAUAAUAGGGUAGAAAGUGUAGAAGAUACUGCGGAGAGAUACUUGAGGGAUCUGAUUGGAAGAAGCCUAGUAAUGCCUUCCAAGAGAAGAUCAAAUGGAGGAGUGAAAACAUGUCAGUCACAAGAAGAAAACUUUUUGCAGUUCCAAAAUGGAUAUGAUGAACUUUUUGAUUCUUCUCAUGAGGACAUUGAUUAUGGUGUUGAUCCCAAUCACAUUUAUCCCAAAACCUCUAUCAAAUACCAAAAAAGUCGGCUGUCCAUUUGUUCCAAGAGAAAUCAUUUUAUCAUGUCAAGACCUUAUGGGCCAUAUGUCCACUCUCUACUGUACUCUGCCACCAGUGAUUCGUAUCCAAGAUGUCCCUAUGACAUCUCCUUCAUUUUUGACAACUUUAAACUCCUUGGAGUGCUGGAUUUGGAAUGCAUCAAUAUGGGGAAUUCUUUCCCCACUGGAGUACUAGUGUUGGCUGGUCUGAGAUUUUUAGCUCUUUGUGGCGAUGUAGAUAGUAUUCCAGAUUCAAUAUCGCAUCUCAGGGAUCUUGAGACUUUGAUUGUCAAGGGAUUAAAAGGUAAAGUUCUACUACCUUAUACUCUUUGGAGUAUGGAAAAUUUGAGACAUCUCCAUGUCAAUAAUUAUGCUGCCAUCACCUUGGAAGAUGAUGAGAGCAUAAUUAUUUCCCAAGUAAUUAAUCUGGUCAGUUUUUCCUCUCCGUAUCUCCUUUGUUGUGAAGGUACAGAAAAUAUCAUGAGGAGGUUGCUCAAACUUCAAAAACUGAGAUGUCUGUUUUCUGAAUUACGUGAUGAUACUGGGAAGUGCAAUCAGUUUCCAAUACUGAAUUUUCUGACAGAGCUUGAUUCCCUCAAUAUACUUUACUCGGGCAGGAUUGCUCCUCCUUGUAAAUUUGACUUGCCAUUGAAUCUCAGGAAGUUAACUCUGUCAAAAUUUCGCCUGCCAUGGAAUUGUAUUUCAGAGAUUGGGAGAUUACCUAACCUUGAGGUUCUCAAAUUGCUCAGUAAAGCUUUUGAGGGGAAAGUGUGGGAAAUGAAAGAAGACAGCUCAAGGAGGUCCCCUCUGGUUUUGGGGACAGCUCAAGUCUCGAGAUGAUUGAGGUACAACUCUGCACGCGCUCUGUUGAAGAGUCUGUGAGACUGCUUCAGAAGGAACAACAUGAAAUGGGGAAUGAGCUGAAGGUCCUUGUUGAUCGGUCAGACAUGGAUUUCAAUCAUCUUCCUAAUUUCUGUUGGCUGUGUGGAAAAGAGAAGUAAACCUCUCGAGGUGAAGAUAAAGGAAUUCUCAGCAGAUGUUGGAAAAAGGGAAUCUGGAAGAUCUUACAUCACUGACUUCUGCUUAGACGUGCAAAAGUCUCAAUCCCAAAGGUUUUUCCUCACAUUUGGGCAGCUAAAUGCGCUUGUAGGGAUGAUUUUUCUUGCCACUAAUAGCAUGGUUAGUGUUGAAGAUUUGGCUUUCAUAGUCAAUUCUUUAGUAUACAUCCAUUUUUUACCAAAAGUUGCCUUUCCAACUUUUUCCCCUCAACCCAAUCUCAGAAUCUUUUGGGAAAACACAGGCUUCAAAGUCUCUAUGUGAUAUCUUCUGGAAUAAUCAGUUUAGUUCUCCCACCAGAAUAUAUGCUUCAAGGUAUGUUUCGAGGAUACAAAGGGGUAUCAGGGACUCAGGGCAGCUGCAACAAGUCUUUCGUCUUGCUGGUCAGAUUUUCAUGGACGGAGUGGCUUUCCAUGCCAGUUUUUGUAUUCGUGCCUGUUUUCUGCAAUUCAAGGAGGAUCUUUACUGGAAUUGGAAGAGCUCUUGCUGCCAUUAAUAUGGCCUUUUUUUGCUUCAAUUGUUUGGGGUUGUAUUGCCUGUUUUCCUCCUAAGGGUCUUCAAGAUAUAUUAUUCAUCUGGGAAUAACACUUAUUAUGUUAUGGUGGAAAGUUGGGA